AUUGAACGCUGGCGGCAUGCUUUACACAUGCAAGUCGAACGGCAGCGCGGGCUUCGGCCUGUCGGCGAGUGGCGAACGGGUGAGUAAUGCAUCGGAACGUGCCCAGCAGUGGUGGAUAGCCCGGCGAAAGCCGGAUUAAUACCGCAUACGACCUGAGGGUGAAAGCGGGGGACCGAAAGGUCUCGCGCUAUUGGAGCGGCCGAUGUCGGAUUAGCUAGUUGGUGGGGUAAAGGCUUACCAAGGCGACGAUCCGUAGCUGGUCUGAGAGGACGACCAGCCACACUGGGACUGAGACACGGCCCAGACUCCUACGGGAGGCAGCAGUGGGGAAUUUUGGACAAUGGGGGCAACCCUGAUCCAGCCAUGCCGCGUGCGGGAAGAAGGCCUUCGGGUUGUAAACCGCUUUUGUUCGGGAAGAAAUCCUCUGGGCUAAUACCCCGGGGGGAUGACGGUACCGGAAGAAUAAGCACCGGCUAACUACGUG
rnacentral:rRNA from 1 species